GCAGUGGUAAAUUUAUUUUAAACAUAGUUAUCUGUGACUGAAAUAAUAAUAUCGAUUAAACCAAUAUAAAUGACAUCGAAGGAUGACCACUUCCUGUGCCUGCAUUCAAUAUUAGUUUGCUUGCGACAUCGAAGUAUAUCGAGAAUCGAGGUUACGUAUAGGCUCUUCUGUGAGUGGUUUAUUCGUAGCAUUUAACGCCAAACAAGAAUUCAAAAUGUGGCAUUUCCGAUCACUGGCUACUAUCUGUUUACUCCUCGCUGUGUUAUUAUUGCAAGCGGGAAAUUGUGAAAGUAAAUUCA